rnacentral:rRNA from 1 species
AUGGUGGGCGAGUUUGAGCGCCGAGGGCACCCCAACCGAAAAGCAAAGGCUUCGAUAACCAUGUUGGUUUCAUGGGUGAUCUGGAAUGAGCGUAAUGCAAGGGUGUUUAGACACAAGAGUGCCCCUCCGCUUGUCUUGCUAAACAAAGUGAUCGAAGAGUCUAACCUUUGGGUUAAAGCCGGGGCGAAAAAUUUAGGGUCUUUCUUAUUGCGAGAGUAA